UCCUCCUUAGCUCAGUUGGUUAGAGCAUCUGACUGUUAAUCAGAGGGUCGCUGGUUCGAGCCCAGCAGGGGGAG
rnacentral:tRNA from 4 species